rnacentral:lncRNA from 1 species
CUUUUUUUCUUUGACAAUUCUGAAUUUACUACUUUGUUUGAAAGAGAUUUUUUAGAAUGGGAUCAAAUUUUUGUUGAGGGUUUUGUUUAAAUUGUUUGCAACAUCAGGUUUUACACCGUUUAUGUAGUAUUUUGUUAAUAAUUUGUAGUGAUUAUGUGAUUCAAGGCUUUUGAUAGACUUUUCGGAAUUGAAGAUCAACAUUAUUAUAAGGCCAACUGUAAAGUUUUGAACACAGAGGUCAAUUCUUUCUGAUAAUGUAUGAAUUUGGGCAG